AAAAAGGCAAACCCUGGGUUUCCGUGUCCAAUUUUGACUGUUCGUCUUAUAUGAAAUUUUUUUAUAAUUCGUAUUUUUAUUGUUGUUAGAUGAUAAAACAUGAUUAAUAUUUUAUGUGUGACUUGUCUUUUUAAUUUUUUUCAUAAUUUUUUCAAAUAAGACGAACGGUCAAACGUUAGACACGGAAACCAGGGGUUGUCUUUUUU
rnacentral:pre_miRNA from 1 species